rnacentral:lncRNA from 1 species
AACAUCGCGAGCCUGACCCAAACCUGGUUGGCACUUGUCAGUAAGUGCACUACCUUCCACCACCCAUCAGUAGGUGUACCUUCUGGAUAUCCUUUAGUGGAUACCUAUAUCUUCUAACAUCCCCCAGUAGAUGUUAUCCCGAUAGCAUUCAUCAGUAAAUGCUAAUAUUUCUAAUCUUCAUUAGCAUCCAUCAGUAAAUGUCAUAUCACCUAACAUCCAUCAGUAGAUGUUGUAGAAGCAUCAAUCAGUAGAUGUUAUCAUCACUGCCAUCAGAAGCAAUGCAUAACCCAAAAAAAAAUAAAGAAAAUACAAUAAAAUAAAAUAAAACCAAAUCAAAUAAAAUCAAAUAAAAAAAAUCAAAUAAAAGAAAAUAAAAAAAAAUAAAAAAAAAAUCAAAUAAAAUAAAAUAAAAUAAAAUCAAAACGAAAUUGAAAAUAAUUCAGAAACUGGGUUGCCUCCCAGCAAGCGCUCUUUUAACGUCAUUAGCUUGACCCGGUAAAGCCCAAACACCCCUCAGUAGGUGUUGAUUUUUAACGUUGGCGUUCUUCCUUCCUUCAUGACACCAACAAUCUUCUUGUCACCAACUCUAAGGAUCCUCAAUCUCAAGAGCUCUGCUUGCUUUAAUAGUCUUGACAACCCAUAACCUAAUUUUGAAUUUCAUUGAUGUGCCAGGUUAGGGUUUGUCACUUUUCACAUCAGGGUGUUGGUGAACCAAUUCUCCAUCCUUAUCAGCCUCCUGAUGAUCUUGUGCUCCUAGUACCAAAAAUUUUAUCCUACAUACACUAAAGAACACUGCACUAGAACACAGAAUUAGCCCAAAAAUAAAAAUAAAAAUAGUAAAAGAAUUUUUAUUUUUAAUUUAAUUUUAAAUUCCGUUUUUUUUUGAAAGAUAAAAAAAUAAACAAUAAAAAAAUGAAAUAAAAAGAUAAAAAGAAAAAUAAAUAAAAAGAUAGAAAGAUAGAAAAAUGGAAAGAUAAGGAGAAGGAUGAGGGAAAGAAUGUGAAGAAGAAUAAGGGAAAGAAUAUGGAAAUAUAUUAUUUUAUUUUAUUUUCGUUUUUUUUUAAAAAAAAUAAAAAUAAAAUAAAUAAAUAAAUAAAAAAAAUCAAAUAAAAUAAAAUCAAAUCAAAUAAAAUCAAAUCCAAUCAAAUCAAAUCAAAUCAAAUCAAAACAAAUCAAAUCCAAUCAAAUCAAAUCAAAUCAAAUCAAAUCAAAUCCAAUCAAAUCAAAUCAAAUAAGACAAAUAAAAUAAAAAGAAAGUCUAAUCAUCAAGAAUCGCACACAUAGAAUAGUUCUACCAUGAGUCCCCGGCAACGGCGCCAAAAACUUGUUGACAAAUUGGCAAGCGUACCAAAUUGUACAAGUAAUUUAAAAUGGUAAGUCCAAGUAUCGUUUUCCCAAGAGACUCACGGCACUAAAUUGUUGUGCUUUUGCUUAACCAAUCAAGACUGUAAAAAUAAUAUUUUGGGAUUUUUGAAUAUAAAGUACGGAAAAAUAAACAUGAAUGCAAUUUGAUCAAUUGAGGUUAAACACAAAAGUGGAUGAAUGAAUGGAGUUGUUGGGGCUUUACAAUUUCAUCUAAUCCGCUCUCUCUUACAUACUACCCUUGAAUAUUAGUUUGAUUGAUUCAAUUGUUAUGCGACUUUCUUAGCCUCCCCUUAACCCGAUCCCUCGGUGAAAAGGGCCUAAUAUUAACUAUUGGCUUGCUAUCCCUAGCCUCCCCUAGUAAUUAAUACCGCAUUAUAAACAGAAGUUAGCGCAAUUGGUCGUCCUACCCUUAUCCCUAGGUGGUAUUGCAAAAUCAAGAGAUUACUCACCAGUUCAUGUCAUUACUAUACGUCCCCAUAUCAAUAAAGACAAACAUCAAUAGGCUCUUUUCAUUGAGGGAUCGGGUUAAGAGUAGGCCAAGAAAGUUUGCAUAACAAUUAGAUAAUCAAGCACAUUAAAAAAGAGGAGUA